UGCUUUUUUCGCCCAGGCGGCGCUCGACCACGAACUGAAGAAAGAAACGCCUACAUUGAUCAGCAUCGGGACCUGUGUGGGAUCGAGCUGAGUGAUGCCA
rfam:Nitrosomonas eutropha C91, complete genome.